ACCGCCAGAUAGACUUCUACGUCCGGUGCGAUGAAGCCUACAUUUUUGGCUUAUGAAAGUGCCUCCAGGCACAUCCAUCCAUGUAUUGUCUUCUCUCUACUGGAGUGCUCAUCUACAGAAACGUUCACCUUCGCAAUGGAUAACAAGAGCAAGCCGCCAUUCUACAUUUUCAAACGUUUGUGCCCCUUACGCAUGAUAGCUCGCACGAGGAUCGACCAUCUCUGAUUGCAGCAAGCACAAAUAAGAUGCAAGUGGCUCGAGGCACCUUGACAUCUGCUCGCAGAGACAGACCGCCCUUUUUCAAAUGUCACGUCACGCCCGUCUGGACGCAUAACGCAAGAAGUACUGCA